GACAUUUGAAUAUGGGGGAAAACCAAAUACUAUUAUUCUAUUGAAGGAACACAGCAGUAAAAUGGCUACCAAUGAGAAUCUGCUAUAACCAUAGAACACUGUCUCCCUCAGCCAUUCUCAUAGACACUUCCUCCUGCAGGAGAUGUGAACUAAUACAGAGAGACCCACAACUGGAAGAUGUUGGAAGAGUGAGAAACCUUGAAACACUCAGUCCUAAAUUUGAUGCCUUCAUCAGACUGCCCCUUUCGGGGCUCAUGGGACUAUACAGAAGAGGAUGCACACAGGUUGUAAGAGCCAGUAGGGAUGGACAACACCAGGAAAACCAGGCCUUCUAAACACACCAGGACUGAUGUACAUAUGAACUUACAGAGACUGUGGUAACAUGCACAGGAAUUUUACAGGUCCAAGCCAUCUUGGACACAUUCAUAGUGUCCCAGCACUAAGAGGAGAAGUGGAUAUAAGGCCCCAUCCCUAACCUAGAAGUUAUCUCCAAGAGCCAACCACUUACAAAGGUUAAGAAUUAUUUUCUCCACUGGAGUCACACCUGAUAUGCAGUCACACUGGGUACGGAAACCAUACUUAAGGGAGGCUCCGUGUCCAGCAGGAGAUGCUCAACAUAAAAUGAACUCAAAGAGCUGAGGACUGAACCCAGAGCCUUGCGCUUGUUAGGCAAGCGCUCUACCACUUGAGCUAAAUCCCCAUCCCUGAAAAAAAGUUAUUUUCAAUAAAAUAUUAUUACUUAAAGUCACAAA